AAAAAUUGUUUGGUUGGCUGGCCUUGUCUUCACAAGAGGCGCUAUCACGACCGGAUCGGAGUUCGGGUCGUGACAAUAUAAUGGCAAUAACAUAUUUGCCGCUAAUUUAUUAUGUAAAGGCCAAUAUUACCGGUAAUUCAUUAUUUGCCGAGAAUAAAUAACUUUUCCCAGCAAUUGACUCAUAAUGGCCACCAAACCUUAUGCCUUUUAUUGAACUCUUGAUAAGUCCAAGAGCGAGACAUUUUUACACUCCCUCCAAAUUGUUUUUCAUUUCCCUCCUUAAUAUUCAUAAUAAUUGAUUAGUCAUUCUUUUAUUCCUUUUUUAUUCAGGACAUAGAGGAAUAAAUAAUGUAUCUCCACAGAAACCUUAGCGCCCAAAAUUCAUCUCUCUAUUUCCUGUUCAAUCGAUUAGUCUAAUACUUCAUGUUCUUUCUCUUUUUAUUACUAAAAGAUAACUAAUAGGUACACUCUUCAUUGCAUAGAGAAAUAUCACAACGGAAGGUAACAACGAUUUAGACAGGUUUUCCUCAAUAUUCAAGAUUACAGCAAGAUGAAGAAGGAAAAAGUGUCUCAAUGUAGAAGUAGAAUAGAUCUACAAAAAUUGGUUGAUUCUACAUAUCAAACAUCUUGACAAUGUCAACAUUGCCGUUGACAGAUGCAAAAACAGGUAUUGCACUUCUUCUUCUUCGUCGACACUCGUCGGAAUAUAGGAACCUCUAAGAAGCUAUUUUUCUGAAAUUAAAGAAGCCAAGAGGCCUCUGAGC
rnacentral:lncRNA from 1 species